rnacentral:rRNA from 1 species
GUAUUAGUUAUGUUCUUGAACCUAAAGGAUUUGGCGGUAUUUUACUCUAACCAGAGGAACCUGCCCCUUAAACCGAUAAACCACGAUUAUUAUUUACUUUUAUUUGUAUUCAGUUUGUAUACCUCCGUCAUAAGAGAUUCUUUUUAGAGGGAAUUUUCUUUUUAUUUUAAAAAUAAUAUGUCAGGUCAAGGUGCAGCUUAUAUAAAAGUGGAAGGUGGGUUACAAUUUUUGUAAAAAAACGGAUUAUUAGUAGUAUUAUUAUUAUGAAGGUGGAUUUGGUGGUAAAUUUGUUUUAUAAUCAUUUUGAUACUGGCUCUAAAAUAUGCACACA